ensembl:rRNA 5S_rRNA 5S ribosomal RNA
GUCUACGGCCAUACCACCCUGAAUGCGCCCAAUCUCGUCUGAUCUUGGAAGCUAAGCAGGGUCGGGCCUGGUUAGUACUUGGAUGGGAGACUCUUACUAUGUAGCCCAGGCUGUCCUCUGUG